rnacentral:rRNA from 1 species
GUUAGAGGGAAACAGGUAGAGCUGGUGAGAGUCCGUGGGAUUCAGUUUCCUGAUCUAGAUAGGUUGCCAGAUCUGAUCUUACGACUGGUGAGGCUUCCGAUUCUGGUGAAGGGGUUGCAUUUCUCGCUGGACGUGCAUUGAGGGCGUCUGAUGCAUGGAAAGAACGGCUAGUUGCCUGCCUCGCUCGCGAGGUGUUCCUCUGGUCGGGAAAUCUGUUGCGUUGGUCGUUUUAUCRGAGUUCAGUUCACUGGCUAGUACUGUAUCUCAGAGUAUUGGAGUUCCAAAUAUAUUUGUGCUCUAGCUCCUGGUUAUUAGUACUGGUUCAGCGAGUAGCUCUGGUCUCGGUGUCAAAGUCAGCGACCUACCUGACCCGUCUUGAAACACGGACCAAGGAGUCUAACAUGUGUGCAAGUCACUGAGCGGCAAACUCAGAGGCGGAAUGAAAGUGAAGGCUACUCUGUAGCUGAUACGGGAUCCUCAGUUCUACUGGGGAGCACCGUAGCCCCGUCUCGAUUGCUUGUCAAUAGGGCGGAGGCAGAGCAGACACGUUGGGACCCGAAAGAUGGUGAACUAUGCAUGAGCAGGACGAAGCCAGAGGAAACUCUGGUGGAGGUCCGAAGCGGUUCUGACGUGCAAAUCG